GAAAAUUCUCGUCAGUUCAUCACUGAGAAGCUAGAAAUGGUUUCCAAUGGAGGUUCUGCGUUGGAUAGGAAGCAGUUAGUAGCAUCAGCGCUGGCCAAACACUUCGCUUUGGAUCUUAAUGCAUUGAUUGGAGAAAUUACGGAAUGCGAUUUUAGGGCCUAUGUACUAAACAUCUUGAAAGCAUCAAGAAAUGGUGCUUCUGUGGAUGAUAGUGAUGAGGUAACAAAAUGGAUUACAUUUGCAGAUAGCUUUCCUGUAGAUUCUAAG
rnacentral:misc_RNA from 1 species